rnacentral:rRNA from 1 species
UUUUAACGGCCGCGGUAUUCUAACCGUGCAAAGGUAGCGUAAUCACUUGUCUUCUAAAUAAAGACUAGUAUGAACGGCUAAAUGAGGACAAAACUGUCUCUUAUGACUAAUCAGUGAAACUGAUCUACCAGUACAAAAGCUGGUAUUACUACAUAAGACGAGAAGACCCUGUGGAGCUUAAAACAAACCACUACCCCCAAGACCCCUAGUGUACUGUUUUAAGUUGGGGCGACUUCGGAACAAAACAAAACUUCCGAGCAUAGAUCCACCAGAUCGAACCAAGGCCUACAAGCCAAAAUAAAAACUGACCCGGCCCAAGCCGAUCAACGAACCAAGUUACCCCAGGGAUAACAGCGCUAUCUUCUUCAAGAGUCCAUAUCGACAAGAAGGUUUACGACCUCGAUGUUGGAUCAGGACACCCAAGUGGUGCAGCCGCUACUAAAGGUUCGUUUGUUCAACGA